rnacentral:tRNA from 1 species
GGCAUUGUACUUUAAAUUUAUUAAAAGGCCUGAUUUGCAUCUAGGUAAUGGGUGUGGUAUAUCCCGGUGCCC